rnacentral:rRNA from 1 species
AUGGACGCGGCCGUGGACGUGGACGUUUCUCUUGUCGGUGUGGACGUCGUGGGUGUGUCUGUCGGUGUGGAUGCGGACGUGGACAUCCGCGUCAACCAGGAUGCGGGCUGGGUUGUUCGCCUCGCCCCCUCCGCCGCCACCUGCCACCUGGUUGGCCAGCAUCCUGCCAGCGGUCGAUGUUGUGGGCACGACGGAGCUCAGCUGAAGGAGAAGCGCGGCCAAGACGAGGAGCAGCAUGGUGUUCCCACUCCGCGCCACGAAAGCCAUAGAUCACAGCUGCAGGCCCUGCCUGGUUACUGA